UAGGAUAGAGGCCUACCAUGGUGGUAACGGGUAACGGGGUGUUAGGGCACGACACCGGAGAGGGAGCCUGAGAAACGGCUACCACAUCCAAGGAUGGCAGCAGGCGCGCAAAUUACCCAAUCCCGACACGGGGAGGUAGUGACAAUAAAUAACAAUACGGGGUUCUUUCGGAUCUCGUAAUUGGAAUGAGUACAAUUUAAAUCUCUUAACGAGGAACAAUUGGAGGGCAAGUCUGGUGCCAGCAGCCGCGGUAAUUCCAGCUCCAAUAGCGUAUAUUAAAGUUGUUGCAGUUAAAAAGCUCGUAGUUGAAUUUCGGGGUUAGUAGGUUGGUCAUGCCUCUGGUAUGUACUGAUCUCACUGAUUCCUCCUUCCUGAUGAACCGUAAUGCCAUUAAUUUGGUAUUGCGGGGAAUUUGGACUGUUACUUUGAAAAAAUUAGAGUGUUUAAAGCAAGCUAACGCUUGAAUACAUUAGCAUGGAAUAAUGAAAUAGGACGUUCGAUCCUAUUUUGUUGGUUUCUAGGAUUGACGUAAUGAUUAAUAGGGAUAGUUGGGGGCAUUAGUAUUCAAUUGUCAGAGGUGAAAUUCUUGGAUUUAUUGAAGACUAACUACUGCGAAAGCAUUUGCCAAGGAUGUUUUCAUUAAUCAAGAACGAAAGUUAGGGGAUCGAAGACGAUCAGAUACCGUCGUAGUCUUAACCAUAAACUAUGCCGACUAGGGAUCGGAUGA
rnacentral:rRNA from 1 species